CGGAACACGUACGCAACCUUCCCAAAACAGGUGAAUAGCCCUCCGAAAGGAGGAUUAAUACACCGUACCAUAAUGAGGUGGCAUCACUUUAUUAUUAUAGGCAGCAAUGUCGGUUUUGGAUGGGCGUGCGCCUGAUUAGGUAGUUGGCGGGGUAACGGCCCACCAAGCCUCCGAUCAGUAACUGGUGUGAGAGCACGACCAGUCACACGGGCACUGAGACACGGGCCCG
rnacentral:rRNA from 1 species